AGCUUUGCGCAGUGGCAAUAUUGUAGCCAGUGAGGUUUAUCCGAGCUGCGAUGAUUGCUAAUUGAAAACUUUUCCCGCCAGGACGACUUGAAAUAUAGUCACCAUUGGCAAUUUUUGACAGUCUCUAUGGAAA
rnacentral:snRNA from 1 species